GAAAAAAACAAAACACUUUAUUUUCCACAAGGAAGAGCAAUAGGAAAAAUUAAAUCAUUUCCCACAUAUUGUUUUCUUAAAACAGAGCCUACAAGGACAUAUUCAGCACCAAAUAAAAAAGGAAAAAAAGAGAAAUUACAAACAGCCAUAGAAUAUAAUCUAUAAAGCAAACAUUUAAUAUUGCACUUUGUUUUGCUAACAUUUUGGAUUUUACUUUUCCUAAUUGAAAAAUCAGGAAUCUAUCUUGAAUACUGGAAUACAACUGUGAACCUCACAUCUUAUGUCAGGAAUUGACCAAUAUUUUUAAAAAAGUAAUGCCUCUAAAGAAAUACAUUUUAAAGGGGAAAAUAAAACUUUAUUUGAUAAAGUUUUAUACAUUUAAAGUUUUAUCACAUUUUGUGAUCCAGUGCCAAUUAUCAGAAUAUUGGUCAUUCUUGCUUCAUGUGUUAUUUGUAAGAGUAUAUAAUGACAAGUAUUCCAAUGCUAUGCAUAUCAACAAUUGUUCCCUAGUCAGUUAGACGUAAGAGAGAAAAGGGAUUUUCUGACAAUCCCCCUCAAACAAAAAUAAAACCACCAAAUGCCCUUUAUGCCAAAUAUUCCAUUAGCUUUUUUUGAGGGGGACAUUCACAAAAUGAUUCAACAAUAAAAAAAUAUUUCACCCCCAUUUCCUUAUUAUCUAGUAUUAGUUUGCUACGGGAGCCCAAACUCUUUAACCGAAUCACUUAAAACGCGAUUCAUUUUUACACUGGGCUUUCUUCACCCUGUCAGCAUUUGUCAAACAUGAAUUGUCUUCCAUGUUUUCUUAAAGGCCACUUAUGGAAAAGCCUAUUUGUUUUGUAUGAGCUUUAAGACAGUAUUUAACCAGGUCAAGCACCAAGCCAGAGCUACUAUUAUUUUCAGCCACUUUAUUAACUGUGGGGUUAAAUGGCAGGAUAGAUGUAACACCCAUUUUACACGUAUGUUGCAACAUCAGAGAUGCUGGUUUUCUUUAAAAACAUCAGAGCUGAAUUCCUUCUAAAAUACAACAACAACAACAACAACAAAAUAAGUACACUUGGUACCUUGGAAAAUGCUGAAAUGCUAUCAUGAAUGCUGGUAUAUUUGUUAUGAGCCAACAGAAAAUUACCUUUAAUAUAAACUAUAACUUACUGAUGUGAUUGUUCUUCCUAUGUAAUCUAUACAUAAUCAAAGUGAGUGAUUUCUCAUGUUUAGCAAAUUGUUCUUUAGGUAAUGAAAAACAGUAUUCUCAUUAGAAAAACACAAAAAUCCAAAAGAUUUAUCGCAGCAAACGUUCUAGUAUUUUAAAUUUUGAAGUUACUUUUGGAAUAAAGUCGAGUUUUCAUGCCAUACCAAGCUUGAGCAAGACAGCAAAGGUACAAAUUGAGCUCUCUAUUCAUAACCUCAAUGUAUGUAUUCCUGCUCAUUAAUAUACUUUGCACCAGCAAAAGCGAUUUCCAACAUAUGUGUUUUGGAGGUAAUUAAGUAACUCUGUAUAAAAAUAAAUGCACUUUUCCCUCCUUUCCCCAGUGAAUGGAAAACUUCCAUACUUUCAAAAUAAUAAUAAAAAAAAUAAUUUUUAAGAGCAACAGCCCUCAACUCUUUGCUGGUGCCUGCCAUACUGCCUUUCUUCACUCCAUUCUUAGCUCUGCUAGUUUCUUCUUGUAUGUCAUGAUAAAAAGGGAAUGUGGGUGUGUAACUUUUGUGUAUGUCCCGUUUCCAAAUUUCCCUCUCCAAAAAGCCAACCAAAUAAACAAACAAACAAACGAAAAAAACAGUGCAACAAAACACAAAUAGCAUUCCAACAGUUUGGCAAGUGAUGCGUUCACCUGAGAUUAAGUGAUUUUAGGCAGUCAGUAACAAAAUGCUGCUUUGCUGUAAUAGUAGAAAGGCAACAAAUUCUUAAAAGAAACCAAGAAGGUAUACAAUCUUGACAGUCUCUUAUUAGCUUCCUCCUCUUAUCUCUUUUUUUCCCACAUUAUCUGUUGCGUAUCUACUACAGUAGGCUGCAAAACAUACAGCAAAAAGGAUUGGCUUGAAGGCAUUUGAUGUUUGUAAAUAAAUCCACAAUUGGAUCCAAGCUGAAGAGGUGAUACAUAGUCAGCCUAGUAGACAAUUCUGAGCAUGUGCAUACGCAGGUAAAGUCCAGGCUAUAUUAAAUAAAAAAAAAUGUCAGUGCGUUUUUUCAUGUUAAAGUUUUUUCAAAGCUUUGUUUUGUUCCUUGUUGUGCUGACCACAAA
rnacentral:lncRNA from 1 species